rnacentral:hammerhead_ribozyme from 21 species
GUAGGGUCCUAGGGUGUGUCCCCUAUCUGAUGAGUCCUAAAGGACAAAACCCACA